AGCUAAGUAUCGUGUGACUUGUUGAAGAGUGCACUAGCAAAGUAAGAUUUUCAUUGUACGGCAAACUGUCUGUUUAACUGUGCAUAUGACAAUAAACAAUCUUGAAUCUUGAAUCUUCACCAUACCUGGUUGUCCAAAGUAGGCAUAAUAAUGUGUUAAUUCCACGACUGUAUAUAUCGGUAUCGGUUGAUAUCGGUAUCGGUAAUUAAGAGUUGGACAAUAUCGGAAUAUUGGAUAUCGGCAAAAAGCCAUUAUCGGACAUCCCUAGUAAUAACCCAUUUGUUCUCUUUUAAACAGAAGCUCGUUCAUCAUUUAGUGCUGUGGUCGCUGGACGCCUGUUUUCGGAACAAUGUCAACCUUUUAAAAGCAUUAUGUUUAUUAGCUAGCAAUAUUGCCAACAAUCAGUAGCCUGAAUUAAAAAUGACUUGGCAUUUGUUUUUCAGUGGACAUUUCCAGUGGAAGGGCGAUGGGUUCACUCGAUCUUAGUGGUUGUCAACAUGUCAGAGAGGACACUACUACAUUGAUCAAUUUGGAAAAGCAGAGGACCACAAGCGGAAGAUCCUACGAAAUUGGAGAUUUUCAAGCUUUGUCUUUUUUGUGGGACGAGAAUAUCUCAUAUCUUGCCAAUACAUCUUGAACAAUAAUUGGGAACUUCUUGAAGAUAAAAGGCCAAGGAGACAAGUGGACUGCAAAAACUGCUUCCUACCAGAAUGAGCAGGAUUGCAGUGCCUGCUGGAUUUUGGUGUUGAAGUUUGCCGAAGAGUUUCUGCACCACCAUGGUGUCUUAAGCACCAAAACCGAUGCAGCAGCUGUUUUGGAGGCUCGGUUGGGAGUAGCAAGUUCCCUCUUACAGGC